UGCCAGCCGCCGCGGUAAUACGGAGGGUGCAAGCGUUGUUCGGAAUUAUUGGGCGUAAAGCGCGUGUAGGCGGUUCGUUAAGUCUGAUGUGAAAGCCCGGGGCUCAACCCCGGAAGUGCACUUGAAACAGCAAGACUUGAAUACGGUAGAGGAGAGAGGAAUUCCUGGUGUAGAGGUGAAAUUCGUAGAUAUCGGGAGGAACACCAGAGGCGAAGGCGGUCACCUGGCUCGCAACUGACGCUGAGGCGCGAAAGCGUGGGCAGCAAACAGGAUUAGAUA
rnacentral:rRNA from 1 species